rnacentral:rRNA from 1 species
ACCAGGCCUUGACAUGCAGAGAACUUUCCAGAGAUGGAUUGGUGCCUUCGGGAACUCUGACACAGGUGCUGCAUGGCUGUCGUCAGCUCGUGCGUGAGAUGUUGGGUUAAGUCCCGUAACGAGCGCAACCCUUGUCCUUAGUUACCAGCACGUUAUGGUGGGCACUCUAAGGAGACUGCCGGUGACAAACCGGAGGAAGGUGGGGAUGACGUCAAGUCAUCAUGGCCCUUACGGCCUGGGCUACACACGUGCUACAAUGGUCGGUACAAAGGGUUGCCAAGCCGCGAGGUGGAGCUAAUCCCAUAAAACCGAUCGUAGUCCGGAUCGCAGUCUGCAACUCGACUGCGUGAAGUCGGAAUCGCUAGUAAUCGUGAAUCAGAAUGUCACGGUGAAUACGUUCCCGGGCCUU